rnacentral:lncRNA from 1 species
CUUGUUGGUGAUCCAUUUUGAAUAUAGCAGUGUGUACAUGUCAAUCUCAAACUCCCUAACUAUCCCUCCUCAUACCCUUCCCCCUGGUAACCAUAAAUUCUCUCUAUGUCUGUGAGUCUGAAACAAUUGUGACUUUAGUAACAGGUUAACCAAUCAGAGCCUUCUACCAAGGAUGUCCAAUGCAGGAACCAGGGGCCCGAGGGAAGAGGAUUCUGGGACCAGGAGAGGCAUAAAACAGCGGUUAAGAUUCAGACUCUGGGGCCAGAAUGACUUUGAUUUAGUCCUGCCUCACCACCUCUGAGCUGCAUGAACUUGGAUACUGAAAUAACAUCCAAGUAAGAGAAGUUAACGAUUAACAAUGUUGUGCUGCCCACAAACGUGGAGACCCCAGACCAGUUGGAUCUGCAGGCUGAUGAAGCUAACUCCUAAUGCCUUACCACCAACCCAUCAGAAGAAGCCUCCCCAGUCCUUCAAGAAAAUAGACAUCUGAUCAGACUGACUCAUCAAGUGUCGCACUUGGAGAUCCUGACACCAAUUCUGGGAACCCAAG